rnacentral:rRNA from 1 species
UGGGGAAUAUUGCACAAUGGGCGCAAGCCUGAUGCAGCGACGCCGCGUGAGGGAUGGAGGCCUUCGGGUUGUAAACCUCUUUCGCCAGUGAAGCAGGCCAUCUUCUUUGUGGGGUGGUUGACGGUAGCUGGAUAAGAAGCGCCGGCUAACUACGUGCCAGCAGCCGCGGUAAUACGUAGGGCGCGAGCGUUGUCCGGAAUUAUUGGGCGUAAAGAGCUCGUAGGCGGCUGGUCACGUCUGUCGUGAAAUCCCCUGGCCUAACUGGGGAAUUGCGGUGGGAACGGGCAGGCUUGAGUGCGGUAGGGGAGACUGGAAUUCCUGGUGUAGCGGUGAAAUGCGCAGAUAUCAGGAGGAACACCGGUGGCGAAGGCGGGGCUCUGGGCAGUUACUGACGCUGAGGAGCGAAAGCGUGGGGAGCGAACAGG